rnacentral:rRNA from 1 species
UAGAGUUUGAUUCUGGCUCAGAACGAACGCUGGCGGCGCGUCUUAAGCAUGCAAGUCGGACGGCAAGGGGAGCUUGCUCCCCCUAGAGUGGCGGACUGGUGAGUAACGCGUGGGUGACCUACCCUCGAGAUGGGGAUAGCCACUAGAAAUAGUGGAUAAUACCGAAUACGCUCAUGACCCUUUGGGGAUAUGAGGAAAUCAGGCUACGGCCUGGCUCGAGGAUGGGCCCGCGUCCCAUUAGCUAGUUGGUGAGGUAACGGCCCACCAAGGCGACGAUGGGUAUCCGGCCUGAGAGGGUGAUCGGACACAUUGGGACUGAGAUACGGCCCAAACUCCUACGGGAGGCAGCAGCUAAGAAUAUUCCGCAAUGGACGAAAGUCUGACGGAGCGACGCCGCGUGGAUGAAGAAGGCCGAAAGGUUGUAAAAUCCUUUUGCUGAUGAAGAAUAAGUGUGGUAGGGAAUGACCGCAUGAUGACAUUAGUCGGUGAAUAAGCCCCGGCUAACUACGUGCCAGCAGCCGCGGUAACACGUAGGGGGCAAGCGUUGUUCGGAAUUAUUGGGCGUAAAGGGCAUGUAGGCGGUUUGGUAAGCCUGGUGUGAAAUCCUGCAGCUUAACUGUAGAAUUGCAUUGGGUACUGCCAGACUUGAAUCACGGAGGGGAAACUAGAAUUCCAGGUGUAGGGGUGGAAUCUGUAGAUAUCUGGAAGAAUACCGGUGGCGAAGGCGGGUUUCUAGCCGAUGAUUGACGCUGAGGUGCGAAAGUGCGGGGAGCAAACAAGGUUAGAUACCCUGGUAGUCCGCACCGUAA